rnacentral:rRNA from 1 species
CAAACUGGAGAUGGCGACCGGCGCACGGGUGAGUAACACGUAUCCAACCUGCCGAUAACUCGGGGAUAGCCUUUCGAAAGAAAGAUUAAUACCCGAUGGCAUAAUAGAACCGCAUGGUUUGAUUAUUAAAGAAUUUCGGUUAUCGAUGGGGAUGCGUUCCAUUAGGCAGUUGGUGGGGUAACGGCCCACCAAACCUUCGAUGGAUAGGGGUUCUGAGAGGAAGGUCCCCCACAUUGGAACUGAGACACGGUCCAAAACUCCUACGGGAGGCAGCAUG